rnacentral:rRNA from 1 species
UACGAAGGGGGCUAGCGUUGUUCGGAAUCACUGGGCGUAAAGCGCAUGCAGGCGGAUUGUUAAGUCGGGGGUGAAAUCCCGAGGCUCAGCCUCGGAACUGCCUUCGAUACUGGCAAUCUUGAGUCCGGGAGAGGUGAGUGGAACUGCGAGUGUAGAGGUGAAAUUCGUAGAUAUUCGCAAGAACACCAGUGGCGAAGGCGGCUCACUGGCCCGGUACUGACGCUGAGGUGCGAAAGCGUGGGGAGCAAACAGG